AUCAACUGCAAAAAAAAAAAAUCAACUGCAAGGACCCUAUUACGAGCAGCUUUCAACAUUGUGUAUAAGGAGAUGAUUUAGCAAGAUGCUGCUUGAUUCGUUCUGUAGCCUUUCGAUUCUUUUACAAUUCAAGUGAACUAAAUUAAAAGUUUAAUCAAGAUGGGGUGCCUUAAUCAGCAGAGUGAAGUCAAUACUCCAUUUUCAGAACCCAAGGAUUGCACUGUAAAGCCUUCCAAAGGUGCCUUAGCAUGUAUGGUAAAUUCAGAAAUUGGUGCUGUUUUGGCUGUUAUGAGGAGAAAUGUAAGGUGGGGGUUCCGCUAUGCUGCUGCUGAUGAUCAGCUAGAGCAUCCUCUCAUCCAUUCUUUCAAGGAAUUACGGAAAAGUAUCUUCUCAUGGCAACAUCACUGGAACAGAGUUGAUCCACUCCUAUAUCUUCAGCCUUUCUUGGAUGUGGUUCAAUCUGACGAAACUGGUGCACCAAUAACCGGUGUUGCAUUGUCUUCUGUUUACAAAUUCUUAACCCUUGAAAUAAUUGAUUCAUCUAUCAUGAAUGUGGAGAAAGCUUUACAUCAGAUAGUUGAGACCGUGACAAGUUGCCGCUUUGAAGUGACUGAUCCUGCCUCCGAGGAAGUGGUGCUUAUGAAGAUACUUCAGGUUCUUUUGGCUUGCAUGAAAAGUAAGGCAUCAGCAAAUUUAAGUAAUCAUCACGUGUGCAACAUUGUAAACACUUGCUUUCGGCUUGUUCAUCAAGCUAGUGCCAAAAGUGAACUGCUGCAGAGAAUAGCAAGACACACAAUGCAUGAAUUGGUGAGACAUAUUUUCUCUCACCUGCCUAACAUUGUCAGCAAAACGCAUGAAUUUGAUCAGCAAAGCAGAUUGCGUGCUGACUCAGAGGCAGGCGAAAAACAACAUGACAAUGGUUGUGUUAGUGCAGAAUCCACUGGUAAGUCAGCAUCAGCUGCAGUUCCUUCCAAUGCAUCAGACAAGAGGGAUGAAACAACGGAUGACAAAACUCAAAAGGAGGAGAUUGCUAGUAAUGGAGAAAACCCUAUGAUGGAUCCAUAUGGGGUCCCCUGCAUGGUGGAGAUAUUUCAUUUCCUGUGUUCUCUUCUGAAUGUGAUGGAGUCCAUUGAAAUUGGUUCUAGAUCUAACCCUAUAGCAUAUGAUGAAGAUGUUCCCUUGUUUGCACUGGGGUUAAUUAAUUCAGCCAUAGAAGUAAGUGGUGCUUCAUCUGGAAAUCAUCCUGAGUUAUUAGCUUUGAUACAGAAAGACUUGUUCCACAAUCUGAUGCGUUUUGGCUUGUCUAUGAGUCCUUUAAUUCUUUCAACAGUUUGUAGCAUUGUUCUAAAUUUGUAUCAUCAUAUGCGUAUUAAGUUAAAGCUACAGCUUGAAACUUUCUUCUCUGGUGUGUUACUGAGGAUUGCCCAAAGCAAGCAUGGAUCUUCUUAUCAACAACAAGAGGUUGCCAUAGAAACUCUUGUUGACUUCUGCAGGCAGCCCAUGUUCAUGCCUGAGAUGUAUGCAAAUUUUGAUUGUGACAUAUCUUGCAGCAAUGUAUUUGAAGACCUUGCAAACCUGUUAUCCAAGAGUUCCUUUCCGGUCAACAUCCCACUAUCAACUUUAAAUACGCUUGCCUUGGAUGGUCUAAUUGCCAUGAUGCAGGGAAUGGCCGAGAGAAUAAGCCAGGAUUCAUUUGUUUCUGAGCAAGCUUCAAUAGAUCUGGGUGAAUAUAGAUCGUUUUGGACAGAGAUAUGCAAGGACUACAGUGAUCCUAAUCAUUGGGUUCCAUUUCUUCGUAAGAUGAAGCUCAUAAAGAGGAAAUUGUUGAUUGGAGUUGAUCACUUUAAUCGAGAUCCAAAAAAGGGUAUGGAAUUUCUCCAAGGAGUGCAUUUGUUACCUGAGAAACGUGACCCAAAAAGUGUAGCAUGCUUUUUCAGGUAUAUGACUGGCUUAGAUAAGAAUCUUAUCGGGGAUUUCCUAGGAAGUCAUGAAGACUUCUAUAUUGAAGUGCUUCACGAAUUUGCAGGAACAUUUGAUUUUCGGGACAUGAACUUAGACAUAGCCUUGCGAAUCUUUUUAGAAACCUUCAGAUUGCCUGGAGAGUCUCAGAAAAUUCAGAGGGUGCUUGAGGCAUUUGCUGAGAGAUAUUACGAGCAGUCGCAAAAUAUUCUGGCUGACAAAGAUGCUGCACUAUUGUUGUCAUAUUCAAUUAUUAUGCUCAAUACAGAUCAACACAAUGCCCAGGUAAAAAAGAAGAUGACGGAGGAAGAUUUCAUCCGGAACAAUCGGAGGAUAAAUGGAGGAAAUGACCUCCCUCGGGAAUUUUUGUCCGAGCUUUACCACUCCAUCUGUGAGGAUGAGAUCCGAAUUACCCCAGAUCGAGGUGCUGGUAUUCCAAUGCUGGCACCAAGCCAUUGGAUUGGUCUAGUUCAUAAAUCAAGGCAAACUUCCCCAUAUAUUAUCUGUGAUCCUGGUCCAUAUCUUGAUUAUGAUAUGUUUGCUAUGUUGUCUGGUCCUGCAAUUGCUUCCAUCUCUGUGGUUUUUGAUAAUGUGGAGCAAGAGGAUGUUUGGGAAACAUGUAUCAAUGGAUUCCUUGCCAUUGCCAAAAUUGCAGCUGCCUAUAGCUUCGAUGAUGUGUUAAAUGAUUUGGUAGUAUCUCUUUGCAAGUUCACUACCCUUUUGCUUCCAUCUUAUGUUGAUGAAUUUCCUGUUGCAUUUGCGGAAGAUGGUAAAGCUAGAUUGGCCACAUUAGCAGUCUUCACAGUAGCAAACGAAUAUGGAGACCACAUUCGCUCUGGUUGGAAGAACAUCCUAGACUGCAUUUUGAGUUUGCACAAAUUGGGCCUUCUCCCCACACGUCUCUUUAGUGAUGCUGCAGAUGACUUAGAGUCUACUACUGAUGCAGACCCUAGGAGACCUACUUCACUUUCUCUAUCACCAUCUCAUUUUCCUUCAUUGGCUCCAUCAAGGAAAUCAUCUGGCUUAAUGGGGGUGUUUAGCCAACUAUUAUAUCUUGAUGAAGAACCUGCGCCACAGCCAACUGAACAACAGCUUGCCGCACGUCAGCAGACUCUUCAGACAAUUCAGAGUUGUCACAUUGAUAGCAUCUUUGCCGAGAGUAAAUUUUUGCAAGCUGAGUCCCUGUUACAGCUUGUUCGGGCCCUUGUGUUGGCUGCAGGCAAGCCUCGCAAAAGAAAUAAUUCUCUGGAAGACGAAGAGACUGCAGUAUUUUGUCUAGAGUUGCUUAUUGCUAUCACAAUAAAUAACCGUGACAGAAUAAUGCUUCUUUGGCAGGUCGUCUAUGAUCACAUAGCAAGUGUUGUCCAUUUAACAACAAUGCCAUCUACUUUGGUAGAGAAGGCUGUGUUUGGUCUGCUUCGCAUAUGCCAAAGGUUACUUCCAUACAAGGAAAAUCUCACAGAUGAGCUUCUCAAGUCUCUGCAACUUAUCUUAAAGCUUGAUGCUCGGGUUGCUGAUGCAUUUCUUGAACAGAUAACCCGGGAGGUUAUGCACCUUGUCAAAGCAAAUGCUAUGCAGAUACGAUCUCAUAUAGGCUGGCGGACAAUCAUAUCGCUGCUUUCUUUUACUGCUCGGCAUCCUGAAGCAUCUGAAACAGGUUUUGAUACACUAGCGUUCAUCAUGGCAGAUGGGGCCCACCUCUUGCCUGCUAAUUAUGUCCUCUGUUUGAAUGUGGCGGCGCAGUUUGCUGAUUCUCAUGUUGGGAAUGUUGAUCAAUCUGUGAGAUCUUUAGAUCUGAUGGCUGGAUCACUUAUCUCUCUUAUUAGAUGGUCUCACCAGGCGAAGGAAGCACUCGGGCAGGAGGCUGCUGUAAAAAUGACCCAGGAUAUAACAGAAAUGUGGCUCAGGCUGAUACAGGGACUGCGGAAAUUUUGUAAAGACCGGAGAGAAGAGGUAAGGGAUCAUGCCAUCUUGAUGCUGCAGAGGUGCUUGACUGGAGUUGAUGGGAUCCAUAUCCCAGAAGAUUUGUGGUUGCAAUGUUUUGAUCAGGUGAUAUUUACAUUACUGGAUGAAUUACUCAAUCUUGCCCAGCCGAGCUUUGUGAAGGAUUAUAGGAGCACUGAAGGAGCAAUAGUUUUGGCACUGAAGCUCAUGUUCAAAAUGUUUUUACAGUCUUUGAAUCAUCUCUCCCAGUCGACAUCCUUCUGCAAACUGUGGUUAGGGGUAUUGAUUCUAACAGAGAGAUGCAUGAAGGUGAAAUUUAAAGGGAAACGGAGUGAGAAGAUCCCUGAACUCAUUUCCGAGCUCCUAAAGAACACUCUACUUGUCAUGAAAACAAGUGGAAUUCUGCGGCCAAGUAAUCCUGUAGGAGGGGACAGUUUCUGGAAGUCAACAUGGUUGCAUGUCCACAAAAUAUGCCCAUCCCUUCAGACAGAAAUCUUUCCCACAAACGAAGCAGAGCAGUCGGAGAAACAGCAUAUCCAAGCAGGUUGUAGUCCUCUGGCAGAGGGAAAUGUUAUCGUCUCAUCUGGUAAUAGCACAGCUUGAAGAUAAAGUUCCCAUCGGGCAGGUCUUUGUACAGGAAAGUGACAUAUUCUUUGUCAGCACAAUCAUUAGUGUAAGCACAUGAUGAAUUUUGCAGCUGAGAACCAGUUAAGCUUUAUAGAAGCAGCAUUUGGGAGCUGAGGAGCAAAUCUGAAUUCAUCUUCUUCGCGACAAUGGUGAAGAUCAUGGUGGCGAGGAUAAAAUUGCUGAGAAACAAGAGGGAGGUGGUUGUGAGGCAAAUGAGGAAAGACAAACAUUGGUAUGCUUCUUGAAUCCCAUCCGGAUGCCACCGCUGCUCGUAUUCAGGGAGUCAGGGCUGACUAUACCACUUGUGGGACUCUAAAUUAUGUUGCACUUGAGAGAGAGGAUCAAAAUUGAUGGGAUAAAACGAGACCCUUGGUCGUUCCUGUUCAUUCCCUUAAUUGUGAAAGGUUGGAGAGACUUCAUUAGUUGGUGGCAACAUUUGGAAAAUCAUGCUACCUACGUGCAGCAAGAUGCUCAUGAGUUCUUCAUUUAAUUGCUGGACAGGAUCCAUGACAAAGAGGGGAAAGCAAGUUUGGCAAUCAAAGUGACUUACUCAAAAACCAUGUACAUGCAUAUGAUCAAGAUUGAUGGUAUAAAACGAGACCCUUGGUUCCCUUCAUUGUGAAAGGUUGUUGCAGAAAAUCCAAUAUCCCAAGCUAAAGUGGAAUCUGCAAUCCUUCAGUUCUAUAGAGUGGUGCUAAUGCUUUCCAUCUUUUGAUGUCAUGCACUGGUACUGUUUUGUGACGCAGAUCAGGGACAUUGUGGUUCUUGUUGGGCUUUUGGUGCUGCUGAGUUGUUGUCUGAUCGUUUCUGUAUUCAUUAUGGCUUGAAUAUCUCUCUGUCAGCAAAUGAUAUCGUAGCAUGCUAGGGCUAUUUAUGUGGGGAUGGUUGUGAAUUGUGAUGGUCGAUAUCCAUUAGAAGCUUGGAGAUACUUUGUCCGCAAGGGUGUGAUCACUGAGGAGUGUGACCCUUACUUUGAUAAUAAGGGAUAUUCCACUCCACAGUGCAAGAGGAAGUGUGAAAGAGAAUCUACUCUGGAGUAAAUCCAAGCAUUUUGGCGUCAAUGCAUACCUGAUCAACUCCGAUCCGUACAGUAUCAUAUGUGAGGAUAAUAAUAAUGCUUGACUGAAUUAAAUAGCAAAAUAUAAUUGAAAUUACUUUCUUUUGAUGGUUAACUGUCAAAUAAUUGUUGAUAAGCUGUUCGACAGAGUUCAAAAUAAUUGUUGGUCGCCAACUCUACCUUUUUGAA